AGCAGUGGCGGGCGGAGGGUCCGCGUGUCCUCGCCCACGCAGGGCUCGAACUGAAACGCUGCUCAAAGCAGCGGUCUCGCCGAAACCGGGCUUAGUUGGAAGGCCGGUUGGAUUCCUAAGCCUUCUGGGGUCAGAGCCCUCCUGCCAGCCCGAUGGGAGCGGUAGUCCUUCCCGCAAACGCAGGAGGGCUCUUGGGACCAGCAUUUGGGUACCGUUCCGCGAACUUCGAGAGCCUCUGGAGUCCGUGAACCCCAAUUAAGAACCCCGUCAGCAAAGAAUGGGUUUUUCUUCUUUGAAAGAAUUUGAGUGUAAGAAGUGUCUUUUGGCGCUGUCACGACAUAAAUCGUGCCCGAGCGGGACAUCUGGCCCGCCAGCCGGUGCAGCGAAGCUUGGGCACGCCGAUCGCUGCAGGGCCCCUGCGCGCGGCUGCUGAGCACCGCGCCUCACCCGCACGUCCUUCAACCUUCAGAGCCGCCCUCCGGGGCGGAAACCAAGGCUCCGAGAGCCAGGACGUGGCAGGUCCCGCCCCAGUGGGCUUGAAGCCUGCGCUGUACGGAUGCCGUGCACCAUCUAGAAAGCUUAAGGGAAAGGUGCCCACACAGGAUUCCUGGAGGAAUUAAGGGCAAUAGAGAUCGGAUGCCCUAGAAUGUCUUCUCUUUAAGAAGUACUUUUAGAAGAGAGACUUUCUCCUACCAAGACGGUGUUGGUCUGGUUGCCACAGUUCCAGAGCCAAGUGGAAGGAGAAAACCAGGAGUUUCAGUAUUUAGGAGCCGGAAUUGAGUAGUGGUCUCAUCCUCUGAAUCCGGAGUUUCCACCGAUGUCAUUUUAAGGACCAUCCAAGGCAGCAUUCCAGGGAGCCCUCAGACCAACACUGACUUUUUGAGCCCAGAGUCUUUGUUCUUCAGGCCUGCUGCCUGGUGAGUUAGUCUCAACCAUAUGAGAUCUAAAUAGUUUCAUUGAGCUCCCAAGCUGAAUUUUGUCUUUUACCCUCAGCUAUUUAAUGAGGCAGGUUUUUGUAUGUCAUUAGGCCCAGUCCUUUAUUUUAGAAAUUAGGCCUUUUGUAAGUCAGAGGGAAGGCAGUCCAGCAAGAAGACAAUGGCUCUUUAGCAUCUUACUACACUGAUAGACAGUGACUGCAGUGAGGUGGGUGAAGACUUGAUUAACACGGGUGAAUGUUGAAACCAGUGUUGUUCAUGUGAAACCUUCAUAAGAGGUUUAUGAAGUAUAUCUUUAUAUACUUUAUUAAAGUAUAUCAAUGAUACUUUAUAAAAAAAAUUAGACCUUUUGGUAUAGAGGUGCACUAUUUGGCAGUCAGACCUAUGUCUUUUAUAAAAUCAUUAGACAUUUUAUUUGCAAGGUAUAUCAUUUCAUAAAUAUUUGUGUCAUACAUAGCUUGUAUUACUUGUCUCUUGCUGUGUAAAAAGUCGCCACAAAACUUCGCAGCUUCAAACAACAUUUAUUAUCUCACAAUUUCUGAGGGCCGGGAAUUGAGUGCAGCCUGGCUGUUUGCCUCAGACUCAGGGUCUCUCACAAAGAGGCUCUUAUAUACAAAGUUCAAUGAGGAGAGGAUCCUCUUCCAAGCUUAUAUGGCAGGCCUUAAUUCUCACUGGCUGUUGGCCAAAGACAUCAGUUCCUUUCCACAUAGCCUUUCUGUAGGGACACAUACAACGUGGCAGCAGGCUUCUCUCAGAGGGAGACCCAACAGAGACUACGGUCUUUUCGUAACCUAAUUGCCUAAGUAUCCUUUCACUUCUACCAUAUUCUAUUUGCGAGAAACAAACCCGUAAGUCGAGUCCACAUGCAGGGGGAAGAAGGCAGGGAUCCCCGGGGUGAAGUCAGUCAGUCCUGUGGUGCUCUAUACCCGAGGCAGGUGGGUAAUGGAAGAGAACUGACUUGAAGCAUACAGAGCCAGAAGCCGUCUACACAGAAUUCUUCAAAUAAUCAGACAUUUAAAAUUGUGAGAAGACUCAAUCCUCAUCAAUGCCUUGCCAAAAUGGAAGUCUACUUCUGUCAGGAAUAUACUUGAUUUUACACAGAGUAUAUCACUAUAUAUCCAAUAUGUGUUUUUCUUUUUGGAUAGGAAUCAUGUAAUACAGAAUUUGUGUUGGUAGGAGAUAAAACGUGUCAGAAUACUAUAAACAGUGUAUAUGUCUGUUGAAGAAGUAUGUUUUAUGCAUCCCUGCCAUCAAUAAUAAAUAACAAAUUUUGAUCAACCAUUUUGGGAGAAGUAAUGAAUUGUCUUUCACUGCAAUAAUUAGAAAAUAUUACAAAAAUUGUGGUCA